rnacentral:piRNA from 1 species
UUUUAAACGUGGGGAAUAUUUUAAAUAUUC